rnacentral:ncRNA from 1 species
AUAAAGUUUUAUUCUUGCUUUGGUAUUUAUAUUUAAAAUGAUUUACAUAUUUUAUAAAUUUCUAAAUGGAGAUGUGGUAGUAUAUAAUAUUGUACUAUUAAGGAAAUUUAGAUACAGUAUUUUUAUAUGUAUUGGUAAAAUGCGUGCCAGCUGCCGCGGUUAGACGUGAAAUGCAAGUAAAUAUUUUUGAUUAGAAGUUAAAUUUAUUAUAAUCAAUUGAAAUAUGAAGUGUUAUUGGUGGAAUGAUUAAUUUUUAUUAUGUUGAUAUUUGAAUAUUUUGAGGCUUUGAGAUUGUUUGGAAGACUAGGAUUAGAUACCCUAUUAUGAACAACUUAAAUUAAUUAUCUGGGUAGUAAUAGUUAUGAUCUUGAAACUCAAAGAAUUUGGCGGUAUUUUAGUCCUUUCAGAGGAAUCUGUCCUGUAAUUGAUAUUACACGAUUUUUUUUACUUAAUUUGGUGUUCAGUUUAUAUACCGCCGUCGGUAAGAUUAUCUUGUGGAGAGUAUUAAAUUUCAUUAUAUAUAAUUUUAUAGUAUGUCAGGUCAAGGUGUAGCUUAUGAUUAAGUAGAGAUGGAUUACAAUAAAUUUAUUUAUAUGGAUAAUAAUUUGAAAUUGAUUAUUUGAAGGUGGAUUUGAUUGUAAAUUGAUGAAGAAUAAUUGAUUGAUUUUGGCUCUAGAAUGUGUACAUAUCGCCCGUCGCUCUCGUUUUAAGAUGAGAUAAGUCGUAACAUAGUAGAUGUACUGGAAAGUGUAUCUGGAAUGGAAUUGUGGAUUUGUAU